rnacentral:rRNA from 1 species
UACAGAGGUCUCAAGCGUUGUUCGGAUUCAUUGGGCGUAAAGGGUGCGUAGGCGGCGCGGUAAGUCGGGUGUGAAAUCUCGGGGCUUAACUCCGAAACUGCAUUCGAUACUGCCGUGCUUGAGGACUGGAGAGGAGACUGGAAUUUACGGUGUAGCGGUGAAAAUGCGUAGAUAUCGUAAGGAAGACCAGUGGCGAAGGCGGGUCUCUGGACAGUUCCUGACGCUGAGGCACGAAGGCCAGGGGGAGCAAAACGGG